rnacentral:lncRNA from 1 species
ACCUUUUACCUUGGGAGUCAUCACAACCUAUCCAAACAUCCCAGUAUAGGUUAAGUUCUAGGUUGAUUGCCAGGAUUCAAAACCUAUCUUUUUCAGGAAAGGAAGACGAAAACCCUUGGCAUUGAAGGCAUUUUUGAUAAAACUUUACGUUGGAAGCUUUUUCCUUUUUCUUUAAGGGGAGAAGCUAGACAAUGGUAUAAUCAGAAGGU